ACUAAAAUGAAAAAUGACAACUAAUCUUGGAGGAAUUGGUGGUUGUACUUGAAUCGGGGGUUGUACUUGAAACGUAACAGAAGAUAAACUCAUGACUAGUCACUUUAACCAACAAGGAGUAAAAUGUGUUUCAAUGGGGACCUGAUAGAACUAUAUCCUGUUUGCAGAACUAAACACUUCUCAGACUCAAAAUAAGUUGAGAUCCAACCAGAACUGUAAAAAUGACUGCAGAAUGUCACUAAACACCAAUAUUUUCAAAUAAUUUCCCUGCACCGGAUUGAGAAGUGAUUUGAGGGACAGAACUGAGAAAUUGUAACACCCAGAAUAACCUGGUUUAAGUGAACAAAGAAUAGCAAUUAGAAGUCCAAUAAACCCUGAAAAAGAAAUCAACCCGUUUAGGAUAUCCCCAUAAUAGAAAUGUCACGUUAUCACCAGUCAAGAAAGGCUUGAAAGAAGGCUAGUACAUAGUUUCUUCAGGCUAAAUGGAGAAACGGGGAAAAGGGGGAAAAAAAUACGGAAAAGAAGAAGAAAUUGUUUCACAUCAAAAACCUUACAUAAGCAAAUGGGCAAGCAAGCAUUUUAUUUUCAUCCUACAUUCUUUGCCCCCAAUUUUUUUUCCAGAACAGGGACUUCAUUAACAUUAAACAGAGAUGGGGCCUUGAAGCCGAUAAACAACAAGCCCCAUGGUUUCAGCAACCCAACAGCCCCCAAAGGCAGUCCAGGAUUAAACACCUAAUCAACAAAGAUUGAGGGGGUAGUAAUGAGACAAUCUAUGUUUCGAAAAGGGAGUAACAAGACAAUAAUGUCAAAACCAAGUUGUUUUUUGGGUAAUGUAGACACCCCAGACUAAUAAUCCCUACAGCCUCUCCCAGAGGCUUUUCACACACUUACACUUGGGGUGAGGUGACCCCGACAGUUGCUAGCAAAGGAAAUCGAACCUGAGACCUCAAGUGGGAGCAAACCCCAAAGUACCAGGCCAACCUUGGGUAGUCAAACCCAAGUAAAACCGAAUUUUCCUUUGCAAACAAAUGAAACCACCAAAACAUUUCUAGCCUCGGAUAUUCGAAAAACGAUAAGUUUCAAAAAAUCUGCUUCUGUAUUUUUUUUUCCUGAAUAGAAUGGAAACCAGGGUUAUCAACAAUGAGGUGCAAAAUCGGUUACAUCUAGAAAGAGGGGCUUUAAGAUCCAUAAUCUAGAAAAUCCAAAAUUCUCCAAACGGACCCUUGGACUCAGGCAUUAGUAAUUGAGAAUGAAGUAAACAUUUUGCAAUGAAGUUUCGCCUUUGAUAAUGGAGUUACAUGACAUGCCUUACAUUCAUCUACUAAUGUUAGGCCACGGUCUCUCUUUGUUGGCAAAUUUCACGACAAAACACACAUUUAAUUGUAUCCCUAUUUAUCGAGUUGUAAUUUAUUUUCAAUUUAUUUCUAGAGUGUCUAUUUAGGAAGUGGAAGGAAAUCAAUGAAAUUUGUAACUGAGUGGUAGAGAUUUUAAGUAAUUGAAGUGGAAGAAAAUCAAGGGAAUCAAGGAUUUCAAUAUAUAACAACUUCAAGAGGAAAGGAAGCUAGGGAAAUCAAUGUUUUGAUAUAUGGCAACGUUUUUCAGAAAGUUGCUUGAGCAACUCAAACAGACUUCAGAAGUUGCUCUAGCAACUCUAUCAGAUUCUGCAGCUUGUAAAUAUGUGGCUUAUUAGGGUUUUGUGGGUACCACAUAUGAUAUAGCCGCCCCAAAUCUCUUCCUAACCUAAGAAAACAUUGAAGGGACUUUGGCUUGAAUCUUGGAGUAAGGAGAAGAUCCAUGGAUCAUUGAGCAACAAGCAUAGCUCCAAGAAGUUCUUACAAACUUUGAUUCAACUUACUUGAGUUGGCCGUGGAUUUCUGAAGGAUAGUGGAAGGCUUGUGGAUUCAAGGCAGCGACGGUCAAAAACUGAGUGAGGUGACGUGGAUUCAACAAGUAAAUCUAACGGCGAUUUGUGAGGAUUCAGAAUUGUAGGGUAAGAUUACUUGUAACCGCACAAUAUUUCAUAGUGUUUGAUUCCUUCCCGUGGUUCUUACCCUUCCAGGGUUUCCAAAGUAUAUCAUUGCGUUCGUUGUUUGGUUGCUUUCAUUUGUGUGAUUGGUUGAAAUAUUGAUUGGUGAUUUGAUGGUUAUUAUAAGAGAUUAAAACAUAGCAAAUCUAUAAACCUAGGCGAACUACGGUUUUUCAAAUGGUAUCAGAGCGGGUCACAGAGUGCUCGCAGGGGUGGCAUUGUGUAACCAAAUCCAUGGGACACUCUGGGCCCAACAACUAACAAGUGUGGAAUGGGGGGCUUUAAAAUUCAUCCCUUAGGCCCUGCUUGGAUGGAGUCAAAAGAGGAGUGAAAUAAUAGGAGAGGGUAAAUGGGGUGGGGCCGAAGCUGUUGCCGCUGCUUGGAUGCAUCAUUCUUUCCCCUCUUUUCUUUUCCUCCGUUCUUCAUUUUGACGCUACCAUAGGUUUUAGCCGUGAAACUUUUGGGCUCCUCUUGGGUUGCCCAAAUUUUAUCCGGCUGUAGAGUGGUGAAAUUUGGACGAAAUCACCCCCGCUUAUCCCAUUUUCCCAACCCGAAAAUUCUUAUUUAGUUUCAAGGCUCUCUUCGGGUGCUCAUUGAAAGACCUUAGAGCCAAAAAUCUAUUAUGACUAUUUAAGAUAAAAUGAUCAGAAAAAUAAGAUCUUUGCACGGUUCAAACAGCUUGAAAAUUGGAACACUUAUCUUUUUACACCAUUUAUAUAUUAAAAAAUAUAGUUAAAAAACGUUUUUUAAUAUAAAUUUUUUAGAAUAGACAUUUUUUAAUUAAUUUAUUUUUUUAUACUUCCAAUUGUCCAAAAUUGAUUAAAUAUAUUGAUUUUCAAAUUUAUAUACUUAUUUUAAUACAUAAUCAAAUUUAACCAAGUGCAAAAUAGUCAUUUGACAGUUUUUCCCAUCAUUCACCCCUUCUUAUCUCCCCAUUCUAUAAAAACCGUCCAAACAAAGUCAAAUUUUAUCCCAUUUUUAAUAUCUCAUCCAAACCACAUAAUAUUUUAUCCCCCCGUGAACAUCAAAUCUAUGCGGGCCAACCCAUCAAAAUUAAUACCCUACUAUCUUAUCCCCUUCAUAUUUUUUACCCCCAAUUUUUUACCCGCAUCCAAGCGGGCCCUUGCAUCUAAAAAGAGGGGCUUUAAAUUCUUACUAUUUUUUUUGCUUUCCCCUACUUUCUCAGCAACCAAACAGAGCAAAGACAAUCUUUUUUACGGUUAAAAACAGGAAAAAGCACUAACCAUCAAAUACUGAGAGACUUUUAACAACCAAAAACACAAUUAAUCGAAAACCCACCUCUCUAGCGUCAAAUUUCAACAAGCUUUCACCA